rnacentral:rRNA from 1 species
UGGGGAAUAUUGGACAAUGGGCGAAAGCCUGAUCCAGCCAUGCCGCGUGUGUGAAGAAGGUCUUCGGAUUGUAAAGCACUUUAAGUUGGGAGGAAGGGCAUUAACCUAAUACGUUAGUGUUUUGACGUUACCGACAGAAUAAGCACCGGCUAACUCUGUGCCAGCAGCCGCGGUAAUACAGAGGGUGCAAGCGUUAAUCGGAAUUACUGGGCGUAAAGCGCGCGUAGGUGGUAUGUUAAGUUGGAUGUGGAAUCCCCGGGCUCAACCUGGGAACUGCAUUCAAAACUGACUGACUAGAGUAUGGUAGAGGGUGGUGGAAUUUCCUGUGUAGCGGUGAAAUGCGUAGAUAUAGGAAGGAACACCAGUGGCGAAGGCGACCACCUGGACUAAUACUGACACUGAGGUGCGAAAGCGUGGGGAGCAAACA